rnacentral:lncRNA from 1 species
ACCAGCAAAAUCAUUUUAAAAGUCUCAUUUUUAACCACUAGUUUUUAAGUUUUCUUUGAUAAUCCAAAGCAACCAUCCAGAUCAAAUUCACACAAAUAAAAACACCAGCUUCAUAAAAUUUUACAUAUAAUCAAGCUUUAUGCUUGCUGUGCCAGCACUAUUUCACAAAAAUUAUCCAGUAGGCAUUCUUCAUUUAAGAGCAGUGAGAUUUGAGAUUUUAAAGGAAAGUGAUUUGG